CCUACGGGUGGCAGCAGUGAGGAAUAUUGGUCAAUGGUCGGGAGACUGAACCAGCCAAGCCGCGUGAGGGAGGAAGGUCCAGAGUAUCGUAAACCUCUUUUGUAAGGGAAUAAAGACUGGGACGCGUCCCCGUAUGAGUGUACCUGAAGAAAAAGCAUCGGCUAACUCCGUGCCAGCAGCCGCGGUAAUACGGAGGAUGCGAGCGUUAUCCGGAUUUAUUGGGUUUAAAGGGUGCGCAGGCGGGUUGGUAAGUCAGCCGGUAAAGCCCCGGGCUUAACCCCCGGCCCGCCUUUGAAACUGGCAGUCUCGAGUUGGAGAGAAGUAUGCGGAAUUCGUGGUGUAGCGGUGAAAUGCAUAGAUAUCACGAAGAACUCUGAUUGCGAAGGCAGCAUGCCGGCUCCACACUGACGCUGAGGCGCGAAAGCGUGGGUAUCGAACAGGAUUAGAUACCCUAGUAGUC
rnacentral:rRNA from 1 species